UACGUAGGGGGCAAGCGUUAUCCGGAAUUAUUGGGCGUAAAGAGUACGUAGGUGGUCUUUUAAGCGCAGGGUUUAAGGCAAUGGCUUAACCAUUGUUCGCCCUGUGAACUGGAAGACUUGAGUGUAGGAGAGGAAAGUGGAAUUCCUAGUGUAGCGGUGAAAUGCGUAGAUAUUAGGAGGAACAUCAGUGGCGAAGGCGACUUUCUGGACUAUUACUGACACUGAGGUACGAAAGCGUGGGGAGCAAACAGGAUUAGAUACCCUGGUAGUCCACGCCGUAAACGAUGAGCACUAGGUGUCGGGGUCGCAAGACUUCGGUGCCGUAGUUAACGCAUUAAGUGCUCCGCCUGGGGAGUACGUUCGCAAGAAUG
rnacentral:rRNA from 1 species